AGGCGCAGACACGGGGGCCGAAUGGCUGAGAGGAAGCAACCGCUUCAACCGUAUGAACGUAUACCGGGUAAUGCCGGCGCACGGACGUCUCUCUAUUUCCCGU
rnacentral:ncRNA from 2 species